rnacentral:rRNA from 1 species
GACGAACGCUGGCGGCGUGCUUAACACAUGCAAGUCGAACGGUAAGGCCCUUCGGGGUACACGAGUGGCGAACGGGUGAGUAACACGUGGGUGAUCUGCCCUGCACUUCGGGAUAAGCCUGGGAAACUGGGUCUAAUACCGGAUAGGACUCCGGACUGCAUGGUCUGGGGUGGAAAGCUUUUGCGGUGUGGGAUGGGCCCGCGGCCUAUCAGCUUGUUGGGGGGGUGAUGGCCUACCAAGGGGACGACGGGUAGCCGGCCUGAGAGGGUGACCGGCCACACUGGGACUGAGAUACGGCCCAGACUCCUACGGGAGGCAGCAGUGGGGAAUAUUGCACAAUGGGCGCAAGCCUGAUGCAGCGACGCCGCGCGAGGGAUGACGGCCUUCGGGUUGUAAACCUCUUUCAGCAUCGACGAAGCGAAAGUGACGGUAGGUGCAGAAGAAGGACCGGCCAACUACGUGCCAGCCGCCGCAGUAA